AUUAGCUAGUUGGUGAGGUAACGGCUCACCAAGGCGACGAUCAGUAGCCGACCUGAGAGGGUGAUCGGCCACAUUGGAACUGAGACACGGUCCAAACUCCUACGGGAGGCAGCAGUGGGGAAUAUUGCACAAUGGGCGAAAGCCUGAUGCAGCAACGCCGCGUGAGCGAUGAAGGCCUUCGGGUCGUAAAGCUCUGUCCUCAAGGAAGAUAAUGACGGUACUUGAGGAGGAAGCCCCGGCUAACUACGUGCCAGCAGCCGCGGUAAUACGUAGGGGGCUAGCGUUAUCCGGAUUUACUGGGCGUAAAGGGUGCGUAGGCGGUCUUUUAAGUCAGGAGUGAAAGGCUACGGCUCAACCGUAGUAAGCUCUUGAAACUGGAGGACUUGAGUGCAGGAGAGGAGAGUGGAAUUCCUAGUGUAGCGGUGAAAUGCGUAGAUAUUAGGAGGAACACCAGUAGCGAAGGCGGCUCUCUGGACUGUAACUGACGCUGAGGCACG
rnacentral:rRNA from 1 species